CAGGAACAACAGUGGGUGGCUGGUAGUUGAUACCACACUUGAAACCAGUAGGGCACCAGUCAACAAACUGAAUAGUACGCUUGGUCUUAAUAGUAGCAACAGCUGCAUUCACAUCCUUGGGAACAACAUCACCACGGUACAUCAGGCAGCAAGCCAUAUACUUUCCAUGCCUGGGAUCACACUUUGCCAUCAUAGAAGAAGGCUCAAAUGCACUGUUCGUGAUUUCUGCCACAGAAAGCUGCUCGUGGUAUGCUUUCUCAGCUGAGAUGACAGGAGCAUAGGAGGAAAGCAUAAAGUGAAUCCUGGGAUAGGGGACCAAGUUGGUCUGAAAUUCUGUGACAUCCACAUUCAAGGCACCAUCAAACCUCAGAGAUGCAGUCAGGGAGGAAAUCACCUAAAACAAUAUAAGAUAAGAAGUCAACUAAACCAAUUUUCCACCCUUUUUAAACUGAAGAUACAAAUACACUGCAGAGUUUCACAUAAUAGCAGCAAGACGGCAAACAUGUUACCUGAGAAACAAGCCUGUUAAGAUUGGUGUAGGUUGGGCGCUCAAUGUCAAGUGAGCGCCUGCAGAUGUCAUAUAUUGCUUCAUUGUCAAGAAGUAUAGCAACAUCUGUGUGCUCAAGAAGGGAGUGUGUCGAGAGGACACUGUUGUAGGGCUCAACAACUGAAGUUGAGACCUGUGGUGAAGGGUACACAGUAAACCCGAGUUUAGACUUCUUUCCAUAGUCAACAGACAGACGCUCUAGAAGCAAGGAACCAAGACCUGACCCAGUGCCCCCACCGACAGCAUUAAAAACAAGGAAGCCCUGGAGUCCAGUGCAGUUAUCAGCAAGCUUUCUGAUACGAUCCAGGCAGAGAUCAACAAUUUCUUUUCCAACUGAAACAGGAAACAAAGAGAUUAAGUGACAAAACACACAAAUAGCACAGACAAGGAGCUUACAUCAGUACCCAAAAAAAAAGUACUUACUUGUGUAGUGACCACGGGCAAAGUUGUUUGCAGCAUCCUCCUUGCCACUGAUCAAUUGCUCUGGGUGAAAGAGCUGGCGAUAAGUUCCAGUCCUAACUUCAUCAAUCACUGUGGGUUCAAGAUCCACAAAAAUAGCCCUCGGGACAUGCUUCCCUGCACCAGUUUCGCUGAAAAAGGUGUUGAAAGCAUCAUCACCUCCGCCAACAGUCUUGUCACUUGGCAUCUGGCCAUCAGGCUGCACAAACAUAGAUAGAGAAGCUUAGAUAAAGAUUUGCAAAUCUGACUAAGGUAUGAGAAACUACAAAAAUAUGUUUCCAUUUUAGUACUGUUUCCUCGUUUGGUACCGAGUCCACAAAUUAACAACGAGAAAUGCAUCACAAAUGUACCUGUUUCAGAGAAAAUUACAAGACACACAAAAUUUUCCAAACAUUUCAUGAUUGUUGCACAAUAUUAAACACUAUAAUGAAAUUAACAUUUGUGAAAAAAAUCAGAUCUCACAUAUAAAACAAACAAGCAGUUUUCAAGUGCAUCGAGCCAUCGAGGUCACAUUAAGCUCUGUUUCUGUUACAAUGAUAAACUUGACCAAAAACAAACAACCUUAAUAAUAUUAAAUUUAAAAUCUUCCCUGAUUAACAAUUAAAAUACAAUAAACCACCAAAACAGAAAUCUAAAUCUAAAUGUAAUUAAAACAAAAAUUUAAAACAAUAUAUUUGUUCCAUAUCAAUACACAUCUAAACGAGCAUAGUACAUACAUCAAAGGACACAUAUCUAACCAUAUCGACAUUUAUACAAUAACAGUGUUGAAGAUACUAAAAUCACAAAUCUGAUUACAUAAUACAUACUGUGCACAUACAUAUGAUCAAAAGAUAACAAGAAAGCAAUACCAUCAACAACUAUCUCAAAUGAAGUGCAAGAGAUCUAAUCAUUUCACACUAAAUUGUUCAGAUCUAAUCACUGACAACAAAAUUCAAACUAAUGCGACAACAAAUAUGUAUAAAUUACACACUAAUACAAAAAUAAAACAAAACGAUAUAAUCAUUUACGUUCAGUAUCUUCAGAUAUUAACAAACUACAAAAUACAUAUAAUCAGAGAGAGAGAGAGAGAGAGAGAGGGAGAGAGAGGGGAGAGGGAGAGAGGGGGGAGAGGGAGACAGAGGGAGAGAGGGAGACAGAGGGAGAGAGGGAGAGGGAGACAGAGAGAGAGGGAGAGAGAGGGAGACAGAGAGAGAGAGAGAGAGAGAGAGAGCGCGCGCGAGAGAGGGAGAGGGAGAAUCAGGGAGAGGGGGGGAGAGCGCGAGAGAGGGAGAGAGAGAGAGGGAGGGGAAGAGAGAGAGCGAGAGAGAGAGAGAGAGUACCUGAAUGCCGUGUUCAAGGCAAUAGAGUUCCCAGCAAGCAUUUCCGACCUGAAUACCAGCCUGACCGAUGUGAAUGGAGAUGCACUCUCUCAUCUUCGAUACAAUUAAAUCACAAUCUAUAUAAAUACAAAUCUAAUGGAAAUGAAACGAGAAUCGAGAAACAACG
rnacentral:lncRNA from 1 species